rnacentral:rRNA from 1 species
AUACGUAGGGUGCUAGCGUUAUCCGGAUUUACUGGGCGUAAAGGGUGCGUAGGUGGUCUUUCAAGUCGGUGGUUAAAGGCUACGGCUCAACCGUAUUAAGCCGCCGAAACUGGAAGACUUGAGUGCAGGAGAGGAAAGUGGAAUUCUCAGUGUAGCGGUGAAAUGCGUAGAUAUUGAGAAGAACACCAGUAGCGAUGGCGGCUUUCUGGACUGUAACUGACACUGAGGCACGAAAGCGUGGGUAGCAAACAGGAUUAGAUACCCUGGUAGUCCACGCCGUAAACGAUGAGUAUUAGGUGUCGGGGGUUACCCCCCUCGGUGCCGCAGUUAACGCAUUAAAUACUCCGCCUGGGGAGUACGCACGCAAGUGUGAAACUCAAAUGAAUUGACGG